rnacentral:rRNA from 1 species
UAGGGAAUAUUGGACAAUGGGUGAGAGCCUGAUCCAGCCAUGCCGCGUGCAGGAAGAAGGCGUUAUGCGUUGUAAACUGCUUUUUGCCAGGGGAUAAAAUGAGCAUGCGUGCUUAAUUGAAGGUACCUGGUGAAUAAGCCACGGCUAACUACGUGCCAGCAGCCGCGGUAAUACGUAGGUGGCAAGCGUUGUCCGGAUUUAUUGGGUUUAAAGGGUGCGUAGGUGGCUAACUAAGUCAGUGGUGAAAUAUCUCAGCUUAACUGAGAGGGUGCCAUUGAUACUGGAUAGCUUGAGUACAGAUGAGGUAGGCGGAAUUGACGGUGUAGCGGUGAAAUGCAUAGAUAUCGUCAAGAACACCGAUAGCGAAGGCAGCUUACCAAGCUGUAACUGACACUGAGGCACGAAAGUGUGGGGAUCAAACAGGAUUAGAUACCCCCGUAGUCCCUGAGCGGGCUGGCAAGGCGCAU